rnacentral:rRNA from 1 species
UACGAAGGGGGCUAGCGUUGCUCGGAAUCACUGGCGUAAAGGGUGCGUAGGCGGGUCUUUAAGUCAGGGGUGAAAUCCUGGAGCUCAACUCCAGAACUGCCUUUGAUACUGAAGAUCUUGAGUUCGGGAGAGGUGAGUGGAACUGCGAGUGUAGAGGUGAAAUCGUAGAUAUUCGCAAGAACACCAGUGGCGAAGGCGGCUCACUGGCCCGAUACUGACGCUGAGGCACGAAAGCGUGGGAGCAAACAGG